rnacentral:antisense_RNA from 1 species
UCAGUGUGGAAAGCCCAGGCAUUGUCCCAUAGCUGACCCUGUGGGUUUGCACUGAUUCCUCAGAAUAAGUUUGCAGAUAGCUUAACUUCCAGAAUUCCUGAGUUUCACUAGUCCCCCUUCUUUAUGAUGAAUUGGAAAAAGGGUAUAUUCUGGGGUAAAGCAAGAGGAAACUGGGUGCAGCAUUCACCCAGACCAUUUUUCCCAGUGGCCCAUUGCUCCUGCUGCUUUUUUCAUGCCAGCUGAAUCUCCCCAAGCCCCACGUCUGCGGCAAAGUCUUCGUGGUGAAACAGGCGGUCUUCAGUAUGAGAAGCAUCGAUCUCAGAUCUUACUCAUUUCCAACUUGUACCAAUCAAAGGCCCUCCCAGCCAAGAUAAAAGCAAAGUCUCCUUCCUCCAGAGCACAUGGGAAUGGCCCCCCAGUAGCUGGGGCAUGCAAGCUAAUGGAGUUUCAUCUUCCACCUCUACCCAAAUAUGACCUUGCUGAUACCAUCUCCUAAUAGAUGACAAAUCCGGAUGUUUCUAUUGCGUGGUUGUUAUUUGCCACAUGCUUCCUGGACAAGUUUCUAGCCAGCUGCCAUGUGUCAGGACACUCAGGCAGCCUGUGGAAAGCUGCACAUGGUGAGGAACAGAGGGCUCCAGUCAAACGACCAAUGCCAACAACCAU